rnacentral:lncRNA from 1 species
GAUGUAAAACUAUGGGAAAUGCCAUAGACAAUAUAGCAAUGGCACAUUCUUCCCUUUCUUGAUAGCCUCUGCCUAAGGAACAGAAGAAGCAGGGAAUCUCAAAAGAAUCCAGAUUUCUGGGCAAGCAGAUGCAUCGCAUCGGAAAACCUGCUACCCACUGUAAUAGAGAGACCCUUGUCUGACUUGGACUGUAUGGUUUAAUACAAUCAAUGAGACCCAAAAUGCCAUCUUAUUCUGUUUUUGUUUGUAUUUCCCCCUUCAGCUAUACCUAAACCAGUCUAGAGAAAUGAAACCCUCCAGCGGUUCUAGUCCCGGAAGGAAGCCGAACUGCCUUGAAGCAUCUGGCCUUGUGCCCACAUGUUGUCACAGCUCAUAGCUCAUCUUUCUCUGUGCCCUUGGCAGCUGAUCUGAAUAGAGAGUGCACAUGAACUUCAAAGGAAGCAGGCAGGAUGGAGUUGGGGCCUUGCUGCUUUAAUCAAGAUGGAUUCGAGACCUCUGGUUAUCAAGUCAGCUGUGCAGUUCUCCUGUGCAAAAAGCAGAUCAAGGGACAAGGCAAAUCACCCAGUACUUUCCCCCUGACCCUCUAAAGAGAAGAGAAGAGGCCACACAGGAACCCUGAGAGAGUGGACGGCCAGAACAGCUCUCUCCAGGAACAUGGGCAGUAUUUUUUAAAAUUCUUCCCAAAAGAUAUAUAACUGUUCAAUAAACACAAGAAAC